rnacentral:misc_RNA from 1 species
AAGAGUUUCUAAGCUCUAAACCCAACCGUGGACCGCGAAAACGUUGCCUCGGCGGGCUUGCCCGCCGGUGGCCCCAACCAAAAACGCUUUGCAACGUUUGUCUGAGUGGCGCAAGUCUUAUUGCAAAAUAAGUCA